CUGCAGCUCUGCCCUACACAUUGACCAUCUCAAGUGGGAGUCACAGGGCCGUUGAGGGGUGUAAGAGGAAGGCUUCGUGCUCCUUGCUGCCCUCACAGGUGUCCCUUCACAUCCCCUCAGAACCUGCCUUUGUGUUAAGUGACAGAGCUACCUGAGGUGGCUCAGCUUGGAAACCAAUCAAUCAGAGCUCACCUGUUCCAGCCAAUCAGGGCUCAGCUGUAUCAACUAAUUAGGGUUCGGCUGUAUUGACCAAUCUUGGCUCAGCUCAGUUGAUCAAUCAAACCUAAGCAAGUUUCAAGCCUUCAUUUGCAUAAACAGACCUGAUUGGGAACCUGGGCCGGAAAUUUUGCUGUAAAACCUGAGCCUGCCCUUUGUCCUCUGGAAUACACCUUCAUUUUACAGCAGAGGCUGCCUCUUUCUGGUUUGCAAACUGUUCACUAACAUAAAGCUGCUUUCCUCCAAAUUCCUUUUUAGAGAACUUUUGUUCACAGCUCAGAGUUCCAAGAGUAUUUCCAGUGGGCAAGGAAGAGAUUGUAGAGCCUUUUGUGACAUCACUUUGGGAGUCACAUGUCACUUCCACUGUGUUCCAUUGGUCAAAGCAGUCACAAGGCCGCCAAGAUUCAGUGGGAGGGAACACAGGUCCACCUCUCAAGGGGGGAAGAGUAGAAAAGUUUACACGCAUGUGUUGAAACUGCUGCAUGAGCAUGGCUUUUGUGCACCUUGCAAGAGUCAAUCCUUCAAGAUGAAUCCUGAGUAGCUACCUUAGCCUAAAUUCAAAUUGGAGCCAUGUGACCAUUUGCUGACUAGAAGUCAUAUGCUAUAGUAUGAGUUCCCAGGAAACCACAUGACUGCUUAACUUUGGGUCUUCCAUAGCUGCCUGUUCUCCUUUAUGAAGACUGACUCCACCAAUAGUCUGUGACCUAUGUCAACCAAUCAGAGCUUAGCAAAUGUCAACCAAUCAGAACUAAGAAAGUUUGAUUCCUUCCUUUGCAUAAGCAGACUGGAGAGGUAAUCUGGGCAAAAAAUUUCUCUGUAAAAGACAAACCCUCCCUUUGUUCUCUGGAAGCCACCUUCAUUUUAUACCAAAGGCUCCAACUCCCCAGUUUGCAAACUGUUCAGUGGAAUAAAGUCUCUUUUCUCUAAA